CGGGGCGUGGCGCAGUCUGGUAGCGCACCUGUUUUGGGAACAGGGGGUCGGAGGUUCGAAUCCUCUCGCCCCGACCA
rnacentral:tRNA from 1 species